GAUGAAGAACGCAGCGAAAUGCGAUAAGUAAUGUGAAUUGCAGAAUUCCGUGAAUCAUCGAAUCUUUGAACGCACAUUGCGCCCCCUGGUAUUCCGGGGGGCAUGCCUGUCCGAGCGUCAUUGCAACCCUCAAGCGCGGCUUGUGUGUUGGGCUUCGUCCCCCCGUGGACGUGCCCGAAAGGCAGUGGCGGCGUCCCGAAUGGUGCCCGAGCGUAUGGGAACUCUCUUCCGCUCGAACCGGCCCAUUCGGCGCUGGUCGAACCCCAAUUUUUUUUUACCGGUUGACCUCGGAUCAGGUAGGGAUACCCGCUGAACUUAAGCAUACAAUAAGCGGAGGA
rnacentral:misc_RNA from 1 species